UUUUAGACUCUUUUCUCGUUGCAUGAACGUAAACGGAUGUUGAACUUAUUCACAAUGGUCUAAGCUUCUGCUGAACAGAAUGUAUAUAAGCGGCAUUCCCUUGCUGACUUGCAUACAUCUUUCAGUGGGACUCGACCAUAAAGUAUAUGCUAAGAAGAAUAAACGAAUUAAGGUGAGUAUACUGACGUUAUAUAUCAUGCACAAUCGUAUGGAAAAGGACUAUAUAGAAAAAUAUAGGAAUCAAAUUAAAUGCCGCGCUAUAUAGAUAUGUACUAAAAUGCAGGAUGAGCAUCAUGCAGUAACAUAUAAAUGCUAUGAAAUGGCCAAGUGCGUCCAUGCAUGCAAUAUGCAUUACAUCGAUCAGUGAUUAUGUUUUGCAAUCAGCGACUGAAGCAGGUUGGAAAAGACUUAUUCUUAUUCUAAUGGGGUUUUUUCCACUUGUCGGUCUUGAUGAAUUGGGCUAUGUAUAAUUCAAUUCCAAUUAUAUACUUACUGUACGCGAUUUUUUGUUUUACAAUUAUUCAUGCGAAAGACAUUUUUCCUGCGUAUUUGGGCAACGUAUAUAUAGCAGCUCCACAAUGUCAUGUUAUUUUUCUCAACAUUGCAUGCAGGGCACAGAAAAUGUAUAACAAGUCACUAUAAACAGGGUCUAAAAAGUUCUUUGUUGUCUUGUGAUCGCAUGUAUUCAGUAUACUCGACGUCCCCAAUAUAGAGAGCAUCAAAAACUCAAGCAAUUUUUUUUUUCGGCCUAUAUAUUUACUGUAUCAUAUACAAUAUGUGAUAUAACCUGUUCUAUAUAUUUUAUAUAUUUUCGUUUUUCUGUUGCAGAAUGAAUCGUCUUGCUUUGUUUUGUCUCCUACUCAAUGUUUCGGGUGUGUUAAUGGUAAGAAACUGAAUUAUAGUUUUCUGCAUGUUUACAAUCAAGUUG